rnacentral:rRNA from 1 species
GCAGAACGCGAAGAACCUUACCAGGGUUUGACAUCCUACGACCGCUCCUUAAUAGGAGUUUUCCCGCAAGGGACGUAGAGACAGGUGCUGCAUGGCUGUCGUCAGCUCGUGUCGUGAGAUGUUGGGUUAAGUCCCGCAACGAGCGCAACCCUCGCCUUUAGUUGCCAUCAUUCAGUUGGGCACUCUAGAGGGACCGCCGGCGACAAGCCGGAGGAAGGUGGGGAUGACGUCAAGUCCUCAUGGCCCUUACACCCUGGGCUACACACGUGCUACAAUGGCGGUGACAGUGGGCAGCUACUCAGCGAUGAGCGGCUAAUCCCAAAAAACCGCCCAGUUCAGAUUGCACUCUGCAACUCGAGUGCAUGAAGGUGGAAUACGCUAGUAAUCGCAGAACAGCAGGCUGCGGUGAAUACGUUCCCGGGUCUUGUACACACCG